ACAGCCUUUACAGACGUCAAUGCAAAUGAGCUGAAGGGGGCGAAUCAGCAACUGCAGGCCCACGGCUGGGUGGAACCAGGUGGAAGGGGGAACUUCAAACAAAUCUUCAUGAGCACCAAGCCAAUGCAACACUCCCUCAGGAAUCCCCAGAAAUGACUGCCAACUUCACACAGCCAGGAGGCUAACCUGCGCAGUAUGACUCACCCAGCACAUCAUGCCGCCCUGCUUUCUCCAGGACUUGUAUACAAGAAAGAGAGAGUCUUACACUGGUGGCAAUGGUGGGAUAAUUAAAACCAAGACAUCACCUUACCGCCCUAUGUCUAAUGGGAUGGUGGAACGUGAGAACAGAUCAAGGAUCAAUUGGCAAAAAUCCUAUAUGAUAAAGGUGGAGAAUGGGAACAAAACAUCAGCCAAGUAGAACUUGCUUACAACACCCCAAGCACACCCCAUUCUUCCUCGGUAACGGACGAGAAGCAAAACUGCCAACAAAUGUGUUCCUCGAUGGUGCCUUUUCAUCACCAAAGGCUACAAAAGGCACUCCAGGAGUAUGCUGCAACACCGGUGAGAAAGCUACACUCAUCUUUUAAAACAGUGAAUGAAAACAGUGACAUAGCUUGGGCAAAUCAAAAGCUCUAUUACGACUGGAACAUGCGUCACAAGCCACAGGGAUCUUGUGUGGAUUGAUGACUCAGCUAUGCCUCGUAAUAAGCUUUCACCACAUUGGAAAGGACUGUACAAAGUACUCAAACGAAUGGAUGCCAGCAGAAGUGAAUUAUGAACUUCAGAACUUCCAACCUACAGACUGUUCUACAGCCAUACAGAGGAUAACACAGGUGGGGCAGGACAGCCUCACUAUCUUAAAGACAUGUUGCUUUAUUAAGAGAUGUUCUUUUUCAUAUGGACUGCAAAGGGCAUGUUUGUUAAUUUUGUUGUUUUGUUCUCUGUUGUAUAUCACGUUUCUAGUUUUUUAAAAAAAAGAAAUAAGUCACUUAUUUGCAUAGUAAAUUGUAGAUCAAGUUCAUCUAAUGGAUGCUUUGCUGUUCCCUUUACAAACGAGGAAGCUUCUUCCAACAAAUGGGGAAGUGUAUGUAAGAAUUAUUCCUGUUAAAGGUUUCUAUAAUGUUUAGCUGUCCUUGUGGAGCCACCGCAGAGUGGGGUGGAGCGAGCAAAGGAGAAAAUAGAGAAGGCGAGAGGAGUAGGAUUGUGAGAUGUGUUUAGAAUGACCACUGCUAUUUAAAUG